rnacentral:ncRNA from 1 species
AAUACAGCUUAGAUUUGGAGUAGUAAUUUCUUUAUUUAUUGUAGAGAGCAAGUGGUUGGUGAAAACUUGUAUAAAGAUGGAGAUGAACUCACCAAGGAGCUAAUCGUAAGACAUAAGCGAUUCGUGUUUCGAGCGAUAAUCGAAAAUGAAGGUGCAUAUAGAUGUUUUCUAUAUGAACUAAGGUGGUACCGCGUAUAUAACGUCCUUAGA